rnacentral:rRNA from 1 species
GAUGAACGCUAGCGGCAGGCUUAACACAUGCAAGUCGAGGGGCAGCAUGACACGGAGAUUCGUCGAAGUGUUGAUGGCGACCGGCGCAAGGGUGCGUAACGCGUGAGCAACUUGCCCGUUUCAGGGGGAUAACCGGUGGAAACGCCGACUAAUACCCCAUAGUAUGUUUUUAAGGCAUCUUUUAAACAUUAAAGAACUUCGGAAACGGAUAGGCUCGCGUGACAUUAGCUAGAUGGCGGGGUAACGGCCCACCAUGGCGACGAUGUCUAGGGGUUCUGAGAGGAAAGUCCCCCACACUGGAACUGAGACACGGUCCAGACUCCUACGGGAGGCAGCAGUGAGGAAUAUUGGUCAAUGGUCGAGAGACUGAACCAGCCAUGCCGCGUGAAGGUCACGGCCCUAUGGGUCUUAAACUUCUUUUGUCAGGGAGCAAUAAGGUCUACGUGUAGAUCGAUGAGAGUACCUGACGAAUAAGCAUCGGCUAACUCCGUGCCAGCCGCCGCUGUAAGAC